ensembl:lncRNA
AUUUAGAUGAACGUGGCAACAAAGAAAAUUGUUGAUGUUUUAAAUGAUUGAUAUUUAUCUUAUCUAUAUAUUCCUGGUAGAGCAACACUUUGUUUGACUCCCAGUGAACACAGAUGCUGAUAGCUUGAAUAAGGCAACUGGGUCUUUGGCCCUAAACCUGAAGCUGGUGAUGCUGAGCGCGGCGGUGAAGAGGAGAGGGUUCUGAUGGAGGAAGAGCGAGCCGGUCUGCUGCCGGGAUUCAUCACCACCGAACACUAUCACACAGGGUCCGGCCUUCAUUACAUCACUUCACUAUGAGUCUACACACAGUCUGUGCCAGCUGUCACCAUUCUGGCUUAAGUUUUCACUUCGUUUUUAACAUGUUUUUAACAUACCAGAUGCUCUAUUAGCUGCUGUAGAACAGUGAAGGAUAGAUAGCAGUCUUUCAGUAUGGAAAGAGGACGUGGUCAUGUGAUCGUUGUGAUGUCAUCAUUGUAACUGCUGCUUCUGUGAUGCCAUUAAAAUGAAUUCUGG